rnacentral:lncRNA from 1 species
UUUGUUUUUUUUGUUUUUUUUUUUUUUUUUUUGCAGGAAUGACUUUUGAGCUUCUUCUAGGGACGAUCGGCUUUUGUCGUCAGAUCUAUCGCCCUAGUAGGAGAGAUCGACUCUGUCAUCGUCGGCUUCGAUCUUCGUUUGCAGAAAUGACUUUGUUGAGCUUCUUCUAGGGACGAUCGGGCUUUUGCCGUCAGAUCUAUCGCCCUAGUAGGAGAGAUCGACUCUGUCAUCGUCGGGCUUCGAUCUUCGUUUGCAGAAAUGACUUUGUUGAGCUUCUUCUAGGGACGAUCGGGCUUUUGCCGUCAGAUCUAUCGCCCUAGUAGGAGAGAUCGACUCUGUCAUCGUCGGGCUUCGAUCUUCGUUUGCAAAUGACUUUGUUGAGCUUCUUCUAGGGACGAUCG